rnacentral:rRNA from 1 species
CUACGUGCCAGCAGCCGCGGUAAUACGGAAGGUCCGGGCGUUAUCCGGAUUUAUUGGGUUUAAAGGGAGCGUAGGCCGGAGAUUAAGUGUGUUGUGAAAUGUAGACGCUCAACGUCUGACUUGCAGCGCAUACUGGUUUCCUUGAGUACGCACAACGUUGGCGGAAUUCGUCGUGUAGCGGUGAAAUGCUUAGAUAUCAUGACGAACUCCGAUUGCGAAGGCAGCGUACGGGAGUGUUACUGACGCUUAAGCUCGAAGGUGCGGGUAUCGAACAGGAUUAGAUACCCUGGUAGUCCGCACGGUAAACGAUGGAUGCCCGCUGUUGGUACUUGGUAUCAGCGGCUAAGCGAAAGCAUUAAGCAUCCCACCUGGGGAGUACGCCGGCAACGGUGAAACUCAAAGGAAUUGACGGGGGCCCGCACAAGCGGAGGAACAUGUGGUUUAAUUCGAUGAUACGCGAGGAACCUUACCCGGGCUUGAA